UACGUUCGUUGGGUAGGGGAGCGUUCUGUAAGCCUGUGAAGGUGUGUCGUGAGGCAUGCUGGAGGUAUCAGAAGUGCGAAUGCUGACAUAAGUAACGAUAAAGCGGGUGAAAAGCCCGCUCGCCGGAAGACCAAGGGUUCCUGUCCAACGUUAAUCGGGGCAGGGUGAGUCGACCCCUAAGGCGAGGCCGAAAGGCGUAGUCGAUGGGAAACGGGUUAAUAUUCCCGUACUUGGUGUUACUGCGAAGGGGGGACGGAGAAGGCUAUGUUGGCCGGGCGACGGUUGUCCCGGUUUAAGCGUGUAGGUGUGUGUUCCAGGUAAAUCCGGUUCACUUUAACACUGAGGCGUGACGACGAGGCACUACGGUGCUGAAGCAACAAAUGCCCUGCUUCCAGGAAAAGCCUCUAAGCAUCAGGUAACACGAAAUCGUACCCCAAACCGACACAGGUGGUCAGGUAGAGAAUACCAAGGCGCUUGAGAGAACUCGGGUGAAGGAACUAGGCAAAAUGGUGCCGUAACUUCGGGAGAAGGCACGCUGACACGUAGGUGAAGUGAUUUACUCAUGGAGCUGAAGUCAGUCGAAGAUACCAGCUGGCUGCAACUGUUUAUUAAAAACACAGCACUGUGCAAACACGAAAGUGGACGUAUACGGUGUGACGCCUGCCCGGUGCCGGAAGGUUAAUUGAUGGGGUCAGCGUAAGCGAAGCUCCUGAUCGAAGCCCCGGUAAACGGCGGCCGUAACUAUAACGGUCCUAAGGUAGCGAAAUUCCUUGUCGGGUAAGUUCCGACCUGCACGAAUGGCGUAAUGAUGGCCAGGCUGUCUCCACCCGAGACUCAGUGAAAUUGAACUCGCUGUGAAGAUGCAGUGUACCCGCGGCAAGACGGAAAGACCCCGUGAACCUUUACUAUAGCUUGACACUGAACAUUGAGCCUUGAUGUGUAGGAUAGGUGGGAGGCUUUGAAGUGUGGACGCCAGUCUGCAUGGAGCCGACCUUGAAAUACCACCCUUUAAUGUUUGAUGUUCUAACGUGGACCCGUAAUCCGGGUUGCGGACAGUGUCUGGUGGGUAGUUUGACUGGGGCGGUCUCCUCCUAAAGAGUAACGGAGGAGCACGAAGGUUGGCUAAUCCUGGUCGGACAUCAGGAGGUUAGUGCAAUGGCAUAAGCCAGCUUGACUGCGAGCGUGACGGCGCGAGCAGGUGCGAAAGCAGGUCAUAGUGAUCCGGUGGUUCUGAAUGGAAGGGCCAUCGCUCAACGGAUAAAAGGUACUCCGGGGAUAACAGGCUGAUACCGCCCAAGAGUUCAUAUCGACGGCGGUGUUUGGCACCUCGAUGUCGGCUCAUCACAUCCUGGGGCUGAAGUAGGUCCCAAGGGUAUGGCUGUUCGCCAUUUAAAGUGGUACGCGAGCUGGGUUUAGAACGUCGUGAGACAGUUCGGUCCCUAUCUGCCGUGGGCGCUGGAGAACUGAGGGGGGCUGCUCCUAGUACGAGAGGACCGGAGUGGACGCAUCACUGGUGUUCGGGUUGUCAUGCCAAUGGCACUGCCCGGUAGCUAAAUGCGGAAGAGAUAAGUGCUGAAAGCAUCUAAGCACGAAACUUGCCCCGA
rnacentral:rRNA from 4 species